rnacentral:tRNA from 1 species
UCAGGGAUCGUCUAAAGGUAGGACACCCGCCCCUACAAGGGUGGAGAUGUCGGUCCGAGUCCGGCUCCCUGAACCA